GAAAUCAUGGGGAGACAAUAUACCGUUUUAUUUCUUGAUAUUACUCUGCUGGAACUUUGGGCGAUCCCAUGACUCCGUUUAUUCUUUUUUUUUUGUUACAAGAAAACAACAUUAUUUAGUACAAAAAUUCGUACAAAAUAUUUGGUAGGAAAUUUCUUUCAAAAUUCUUUCAAAUUAUGUGUUCAUAAGAAUUUUUUUAGGAAAUUAGAAAGAAUUAUAUAUAUACUUAGGAAAGAAUGUCGAAUAAAUUCG
rnacentral:lncRNA from 1 species